rnacentral:rRNA from 1 species
GUUUGGAAUAUUGCACAAUGGAGGAAACUCUGAUGCAGCGACGCCGCGUGGAGGACGAAGGAUCUAGGUCUGUAAACUCCUUUUGCUGGGAAAGACUUAGGACGGUACCCAGCGAAUAAGCCCCGGCUAACUACGUGCCAGCAGCCGCGGUAAGACGUAGGGGGCGAGCGUUGUCCGGAUUUACUGGGCGUAAAGGGCGCGUAGGCGGCUCGUUAAGUGUGAAGUGAAAUCUCCAGGGCUCAACCCGGAAACUGCUUCGCAUACUGGCGAGCUUGAGGAACGCAGAGGUGACUGGAAUUCCCGGUGUAGCGGUGAAAUGCAUUGAUAUCGGGAGGAACUCCAACAGCGAAGGCAGGUCACUGGGCGUUAUCUGACGCUGAGGCGCGAAAGCGUGGGUAGCAAACAGGAUUAGAUACCCUGGUAGUCC